rnacentral:tRNA from 1 species
GGUGCUGUGGCAUAGUGGGUUAAAGCCCUGGCCUGCAGCGCCAGCAUCCCCUAUGGGCACUGGUUCGAGACCCGGCUGGCUCCU